AGGGAAUUUUGCGCAAUGGACGAAAGUCUGACGCAGCAACGCCGCGUGAGCGAUGAAGGUCUUCGGAUUGUAAAGCUCUGUUGGAUGGGAAGAAUGGCUUUUGUGAUAAUACCACAAGAGCGUGACGGUACCAUUCGAGGAAGCCCCGGCUAACUACGUGCCAGCAGCCGCGGUAAUAUGUAGGGGGCAAGCGUUGUUCGGAAUUACUGGGCGUAAAGGGAGCGUAGGCGGAGGGGUAAGUUGGGUGUGAAAUCCACAGGCGCAUCCUGUGGUUUGCUCUCAAUACUGCCUUUCUUGAGUAUUGGAGAGGGAGAUGGAAUUCCAGGUGUAGCGGUGGAAUGCGUAGAUAUCUGGAAGAACACCAGUUGCGAAGGCGGUCUCCUGGCCAAAUACUGACGCUGAGGCUCGAAAGCUAGGGGAGCAAAC
rnacentral:rRNA from 1 species